GCGUUGUACUGGUGCUGUACUCGCUCCAUCAAAAAAAAAAAAGACAAACCCUAUGUUUUUGUGGCCAACGUUUGACUAUCCGUCUUAUAUGAAAUUUUUUUAUAAUUAGUAUUUUCAUUGCUGUUAGAUGAUAAAACAUAAUUAAUACUUUAUGCGUGACUUAUCUUUUUAAAUUUUUUCACAAAUUUUUCAAAUAAGACAGGACGGUUAAACGAUGGACACGGAAACUAGGUUUUUUUUUUUUUUUGAGACGGAGGGAGUAUGUGCGGUGGUGGUUGGU
rnacentral:misc_RNA from 1 species